CCUACGGGUGGCUGCAGUGGGGAAUAUUGGGCAAUGGGCGAAAGCCUGACCCAGCAACGCCGCGUGAAGGAAGAAGGCUUUCGGAUUGUAAACUCCUUUUGUUAGAGAAGAUUAUGACGGUAUCUAACGAAUACGCACCGGCUAACUCCGUGCCAGCAGCCGCGGUAAUACGGAGGGUGCAAGCGUUACUCGGAAUCACUGGGCGUAAAGAGUGCGUAGGCGGGGUAAUAAGUCAGAUGUGAAAUCCUGUAGCUUAACUACAGAACUGCAUUUGAAACUGUUACUCUGGAGUGUGGGAGAGGUAGGUGGAAUUCUUGGUGGAGGGGUAAAAUCCGUAGAGAUCAAGAGGAAUACUCAUUGCGAAGGCGACCUGCUGGAACAUGACUGACGCUGAUGCACGAAAGCGUGGGGAGCAAACAGGAUUAGAUACCCCAGUAGUC
rnacentral:rRNA from 1 species